AUGAACGCUGGCGGCGUGCUUAACACAUGCAAGUCGAACGAAGCACCUCUAAUCGAAGAUUGAGAAAGCUUGCUUUGAUUGAUUCACCUUGAGGUGACUGAGUGGCGGACGGGUGAGUAACGCGUGGGUAACCUACCCUAUACAGGGGGAUAACGGUUGGAAACGACUGCUAAUACCGCAUAAGCGCACAGGACCGCAUGGUCUAGUGUGAAAAACUCCGGUGGUAUAGGAUGGACCCGCGUCUGAUUAGCUAGUUGGUGAGGUAACGGCUCACCAAGGCGACGAUCAGUAGCCGACCUGAGAGGGUGACCGGCCACAUUGGGACUGAGACACGGCCCAAACUCCUACGGGAGGCAGCAGUGGGGAAUAUUGCACAAUGGGCGAAAGCCUGAUGCCAGCGACGCCGCGUGAACGAAGAAGUAUUUCGGUAUGUAAAGUUCUAUCAGCAGGGAAGAAAAAUGACGGUACCUGACUAAGAAGCUCCGGCUAAAUACGUGCCAGCAGCUGC
rnacentral:rRNA from 1 species